GCGGCAAUAGCUUAAUGGUAGAGCCCGCUUCGCGUGCGAAGAGACCCGGGUUCGAUUCCCGGCUGCUUCC
rnacentral:tRNA from 1 species